rnacentral:lncRNA from 1 species
AACUACAUGCACUAUGAUCUAUGUACCACGAUAUGCACCAUGAACUAUGAAAAUUGUAUUAGCGUCGAAUAUUAACUAUGCACUAUGUACUGUUCACGGUAGAUGCAUGUGCGGUGUGUACAGUGCACAGAUCGACAAUGCACAAUGUACUGUGGACUGUGAAAGAGAUAGGAGAUAAAUGUGCAAAUCCAACCCAUCAUGAAAAUAUCUUAUUGAGGAGGGAAAUAGAGUGGGAAAAAUAAUACAAACAACGUAC